GACGAACGCUGGCGGCGUGCUUAACACAUGCAAGUCGAACGAUGAAGCCUUAGCUUGCUUUGGUGGAUUAGUGGCGAACGGGUGAGUAACACGUGAGCAACGUGCCCAGGACUCUGGAAUAACCGCGGGAAACCGUGGCUAAUACCGGAUAGGUGCCGAGGCCGCAUGGUCUUCGGUUGGAAAGUUUUUGCGGUUCUGGAUCGGCUCACGGCCUAUCAGCUUGUUGGUGGGGUAAUGGCCUACCAAGGCGACGACGGGUAGCCGGCCUGGGAGGGUGACCGGCCACACUGGGACUGAGACACGGCCCAGACUCCUACGGGAGGCAGCAGUGGGGAAUAUUGCACAAUGGGCGCAAGCCUGAUGCAGCAACGCCGCGUGGGGGAUGACGGCCUUCGGGUUGUAAACCUCUUUUAGUAGGGAAGAAGCGCAAGUGACGGUACCUGCAGAAAAAGCACCGGCUAACUACGUG
rnacentral:rRNA from 1 species